rnacentral:rRNA from 1 species
AUGGAUACUACUGGGCUCACUAGUGGUGUCAAUAAGUGUGUGGAUCUUUUUCAAUGGGCUGGAUCUGCUAUUUCAUCUGACAUGAAGGAGCAAAGGUUUCAAAAUAAUCUAUUUGACUUGCAGAGAGACUUGCAAUGCCUCAGUGACACUCUUCCUGCAAUGUAUAGCCUAAUUAAUCGAGCAGAGUGGACAAGCCACAACGUUGAUGUGGUCAGGCAGCUUCCAAAUAUCAAGGAUGCAGUCUAUGACGUUGAAGACAUUCUUGAUGAGCUCAGAUGGUACAACCAUAAGGUGAUAGUGGAGAGCAAUGCAAGCCAAUUAUCUUUUACUGACUUCUAUAAUAGCUUCAACAAAGUAAAUAUCAUCCGCGAAAGGCUGAAAACUAAUUCUGAACUCAUAGAAAAAAUGGGGUUGGUUGAAGUGACAUUCCGGUUUGACAAAACAAGCAGGCCAGAGACUAGCUCUUUCCCCAAUGAAACAAAAAUAUUUGGUCGUGACAUGGCGCUAAAGAAGGUGAUGAGAUUGCUUGGUGUGCCUACACGUAGUAGCAAUUGUUCGAAACGCAAGAGGGAAAUUAAUGCAGAUAAUGCAUCAGCAAGCAUAUUACCGAGCGACCAAAUUAAUGAAUCAAGAUUACAAGAUCUUCCAGUUCUACCAAUAUUUGGAAUGGGGGGUGUUGGAAAGACCACUUUGGCCCAGCAUAUCAGUAGUCAUCCAAAAGUGAAGUCUCACUUCGACACAAUAAUUUGGAUUUGUGUCUCAAAUGAUUUCGAUGAGAAGAGGUUAACUAAAGAGGCUAUAGAAUCCAUUACUGAGAUGCGCCAGUUCUUGAUUGUCCUCGAUGAUAUGUGGGAUGAUGCUCUGAAUGGAACUGGCGCAUGUUGGAAGAGGUUUUGUUCAGCUUUGAAAAAUGUGCUACGAGGAAGUAUUAUGAUGGUCACCACCAGAUCUAAGAGGGUUGCUAAUUUUGUGCAGACUAUGGAGCCAAUUAGAUUGGAAGGUUUGGAUAAGGGUGUCUUUUGGAAUUUCUUCAAACUAUGUGCGUUUGGAUCCGAGAGCUCUCACGAUCCAGAUUUAGAGCUCAUUGGUAGAAAGAUAGUUUCUAAGUUGAAGGGCUCUCCUUUAGCUGCUAAGACUCUUGGACGCAUGUCACGGAGUGACCUUAGUACAUCACAUUGGAAUAAUAUACUAGACAGUGAAUUGUGGGAGUUGGAGCAAGAUUCAACAGAAAUUGUGCCAGCUCUACGGUUGAGCUACAUGUAUUUACCGUUCCACUUGAAGAGAUGCUUCUCAUUCUGUGCUGUGUACCCCAAAGAUAAGGAGUUUGAAAAGGGCAGCUUAGCUGAAAUUUGGGCGGCAGAAGGCUUUGUGAAACGCCUGGGUGUUAUUCCAGUUCAAGAUAUUGGAUGUCAAUACUUCAAUGAACUUUUAAAUCGGUCAUUCUUUCAAAAAGUUCAAGCCAGUGAUGAGCAGGGACUAGGAUGUAGGUUCAUAAAGAAUAUGAAGCAACUUCGUGGACACUUGGAGAUACGUAAUGUUGACAAGCUAAGAAAGGAUCAUUUAGCAGAAGCCGAACUGAAAAAUAAGGGAUAUCUUGACAAGCUGACGCUGGAAUGGAGUGCCUGCGCGAGUCAAUCUGGGGAUAAUGAAAACGGGAUAGAAGUCCUUCGACAUCCUGGUGUCAAGUCUCUAGUCCUUGAAGAGUACCCAGGUGUUUCUCUUCCGAGCUGGUUUCAGCCAGAAAGCCUGUCAGGCUUAACAUCUGCGUCAUUUUCUUGGUGUCGUGAACUCGAGAUACCUACAGUGCCAAUCGACAUCAACAGUAGCAGCAUGGGUUUCUCGUCCCUGACAGAUCUAAUCCUUCAGCGGUGCAGCAGUUUAUCAAGUCUCGAACAGCUUCUAGAUCCGGCUUAUCUACCAGUCAUCAAGAAAAUUGCAAUAAUGCACUGCCGGAACCUAAUAUCAGUACCCACCGAAAAAUUCGAAGAAUUUCGUUGCAUUGAAAUAUUCAAGGUGGGGGGAUGUGGAAAAAUAAACUCCCAGAGUUUGGUUGCGCGUUCUCUCAAGAAGCUCCAGCUAGGCACGCAGGAUAUGUACUGGUCUAAUGAUUGCGGGAAUCUCAGUGCAGCCAAUAUCCAAUGCUGCUCGCUCACCUGCUUUUCCUUGUCAUGCAAGCGUCUCACGUCCAUCCAACUACAAAUGUGGAAUCUUCCAGCUCUACAGGAACUGCGCAUUUCGUAUUGUCACUCUCUCACAUCUAUUGGACAACCUGGACAGGUCUUCACCAACCUCACUUCCCUAUCCCUCAGCGACUGCGAAGAACUGUCAACCAUUGAUGGUCUCCUAGAAGAAGAAUAUCAACAUGCCAUUAAGAGUAUUACAAUUAACAACUGUGACGAGUUGUCGACCAUGACCUUGCACCGUAGAAGGUUUGGGGGUUUCUCUUCUCUGGAGAAUCUGAAUGUUUCUCGGUGCCAUGACAUCAACUGGGGGGGAUUUGUGUUACCAUCGUCCCUCCAAAGCCACCUUUGGAGCAGUACUCUCUCAUCACUUGAGGAGUUAGAGAUUUGGGAUUGUCCAGAGCUUGUGUCCGUUGGUGGAGCAGAUGACAUUUCAGAAAUACCAAAUGUGUUGAUUGAGGCCUGUAAAAAGUUGAGGGGAAUAAAGCAGCCUGUGAGAAGAGGCAGCUUCUUGAAAUCCAAGAAGUGA